rnacentral:rRNA from 1 species
UUCCGGUUGAUCCUGCCGGACCCCACUGCUAUCGGGAUAGGACUAAGACAUGCUAGUCGAGUGACUCAGGCAAAACGAGUCACGGCACACAGCUCAGUAACACGUGGCUAAUCUGCCCUUGGGACUAGAACAACCCCGGGAAACUGGGGCUAACUCUAGAUAGGUGAAGAACUCUGGAAUGAGUCUUUGCCUAAAUAGGUUCACGUUAUCCUCGUGAACUUGCCCAAGGAUGAGGCCGCGACCGAUCAGGUUGUUGGCGAGGUAAUGGCUCACCAAGCCUUUUACCGGUGCGGGCCGUGGGAGCGGGAGCCCGGAGAUGGGUACUGAGACAAGGACCCAGGCCCUACGGGGCGCAGCAGUCGCGAAACCUUUGCAAUACACGAAAGUGUGACAGGGCUAUCCCGAGUGCCAUCCGCUGAGGAAGGCUUUUACCCAGUCUAGAACGCUGGGGGAAUAAGGAGAGGGCAAGUCUGGUGUCAGCCGCCGCGGUAAUACCAGCUCUCCGAGUGGUGUGGAUGUUUAUUGGGCCUAAAGCAUCCGUAGCUGGCUAGGUAAGUCCCUUGUUAAAUCCACCGAAUUAAUCGUUGGAUCGCGGGGGAUACUGCUUGGCUAGGGGACGAGAGAGGCAGACGGUAUUUUCGGGGUAGGGGUGAAAUCCUAUAAUCCCGGGAAGACCACCAGUGGCGAAGGCUGUCUGCUAGAACGCGCCCGACGGUGAGGGAUGAAAGCUGGGGGAGCGAACCGGAUUAGAUACCCGGGUAGUCCCAGCUGUAAACGAUGCAGACUAGGUGUUUGGACGGCCACGUGCCGUUCUAGUGCCGCAGGGAAGCUGUUAAGUCUGCCGCCUGGGGAGUACGAUCGCAAGAUUUGAACUUAAAGGAAUUGGCGGGGGAGCACCCACAGGGGUGAAGCUUGCGGUUUAAUUGGAUUCAACGCCGGGA